UCUUCGUUUCACGCACUCUCUCGCCGGUCAGAGUGGCGAGAGAGAGUGCGAACUGAAGAGA
rnacentral:pre_miRNA from 1 species